UACAGAGGGUGCGAGCGUUAAUCGGAAUUACUGGGCGUAAAGCGCGCGUAGGCGGCUUUGCAAGUCGGGUGUGAAAUCCCCAGGCUUAACCUGGGAACUGCAUCCGAUACUGGAUGGCUUGAAUCCGGGAGAGGGAUGCAGAAUUCCAGGUGUAGCGGUGAAAUGCGUAGAUAUCUGGAGGAAUACCGGUGGCGAAGGCGGCAUCCUGGACCAUAACUGACGCUGAGGCGCGAAAGCUAGGGGAGCAAACGGG
rnacentral:rRNA from 1 species